UUCAACAUGUUGGAUAGGCUGGUCUGGAACUCCUGACCUCAAGUGAUCUGCCCGCCUCAGCCUCCCAAAGUGCUGGGAUUACAGGCGUAAGCCACCACGCCUGGCUGCAAGCUUAAUAAAAUUGGAAAAUAUAAGUGACAGUCCAGAGUCCACUAUCAGAGCCAUAGAGACUUUGAAUUGGAUUAGUAGAGUCCUCAGCCAGGAUGACCCUGGCAGGGUCCAAGACAGCCUGCUGUCCAUCAGAGACGCGGAGACUCAGCUGCCAGUCUGCAGGGCAGCCCAUCCUGCCCCAGAAGCUCAGCUCAAGACCUGCCCAGACAAGAAAACUGUGGCAGGGGCCCAGCAGGAAGGUAAAAAUUACAUUUGUUUCUCAUCAGGGCAGACUGGGAUAUGGAUAACCAAACACACAGGAAAUCCCAAACCCUCAUGUUCAUAAAAGAAGGCAGAAAUCUUCAUGCCAAGUUAACUUUUACUGGAGGGAGCCCAUUGCCAUCCUGUAGACCAGGAGGAGGAUCCAGCCCCCAAGGAGCCUCACUCUCCUCAGCAAAGGCUCCUGCAGGCGGCUCACAGGUGCUCUGUUCCCAUGGGUCCUGCAUGGCCACAGGGCAGUGCUGCCCCUGAUGUGGUACGGAAUGAAAAGCCCCAGUACAGCGCACUGUGUGUGUCAGUGGAAGACGACUGAUGAAGGGCCUCUCCCGGGAAGAACUGUCCUUUUCUUUGACAUUAUGUCGUUACUCCUUUGUUGGGUAUUAACAUGUCCUUUUAAUGAAAUGACAAUGGUGGCAGAGCUGGCAUUUGACAGUUUCUUUUUUUAUGUUUUUGCUUGUCAAAAUAAAAAGCUGGUGGCCUUGUGA